UGCCUAAUACAUGCAAGUCGAGCGAACUGAUUAGAAGCUUGCUUCUAUGACGUUAGCGGCGGACGGGUGAGUAACACGUGGGCAACCUGCCUGUAAGACUGGGAUAACUUCGGGAAACCGAAGCUAAUACCGGAUAGGAUCUUCUCCUUCAUGGGAGAUGAUUGAAAGAUGGUUUCGGCUAUCACUUACAGAUGGGCCCGCGGUGCAUUAGCUAGUUGGUGAGGUAACGGCUCACCAAGGCAACGAUGCAUAGCCGACCUGAGAGGGUGAUCGGCCACACUGGGACUGAGACACGGCCCAGACUCCUACGGGAGGCAGCAGUGGGA
rnacentral:rRNA from 2 species